GACGAACGCUGGCGGCGUGCUUAACACGUGCAAGUCGAACGGUAAGGCCCUUCGGGGUACACGAGUGGCGAACGGGUGAGUAACACGUGGGUGAUCUGCCCUGCACUUCGGGAUAAGCCUGGGAAACUGGGUCUAAUACCGGAUAGGACCACGGCCUGCAUGGGUGGUGGUGGAAAGCCUUUGCGGUGUGGGAUGGGCCCGCGGCCUAUCGGCUUGUUGGUGGGGUGAUGGCCUACCAAGGCGACGACGGGUAGCCGGCCUGAGAGGGUGACCGGCCACACUGGGACUGAGAUACGGCCCAGACUCCUACGGGAGGCAGCAGUGGGGAAUAUUGCACAAUGGGCGCAAGCCUGAUGCAACGACGCCGCGUGAGGGAUGACGGCCUUCGGGUUGUAAACCUCUUUCAGCACCGACGAAGCGCAAGUGACGGUAGGUGCAGAAGAAGGACCGGCCAACUACGUGCCAGCCGCCGCAGUAA
rnacentral:rRNA from 1 species